UGAGUGGCGGACGGGUGAGUAACGCGUGGGCAACCUGGCCUGUACAGGGGGAUAACACUUAGAAAUAGGUGCUGAUACCGCAUAACGGGGGAAGCCGCAUGGCUUUUCCCUGAAAACUCCGGUGGUACAGGAUGGGCCCGCGUCUGAUUAGCCAGUUGGCAGGGUAACGGCCUACCAAAGCGACGAUCAGUAGCCGGCCUGAGAGGGCGGACGGCCACACUGGGACUGAGACACGGCCCAGACUCCUACGGGAGGCAGCAG
rnacentral:rRNA from 1 species